UUCUUCUUCUUUCUCUUUCUGCUUCUCUUCUUCUUGUUCUUCUUCUCUUCGUCGAUCUUAAAACAGAGGAAUGGAUAUUGAAUCUCGUUCAAGUAAUAUUAGGAGGUUGAUAAUAUGAUGGUGUUGAAGUUGUUUUAACUUCAGAUGAAGAAGAAACGACGGAUCGAAGAUAAACAGAAGUUAGGGUUUCUGAGUAAGGAAUUGAUCGAAGAAUUAUAUGGAUUUGAGCAUGAAGUCGAUAAAUUGAUGAUGGAUUUUGUGUGUUUGAAACAAGUGAGAAGAGUUAGCUGUUGAUUUAGGAAUUAAGUGAAGAUCUGAGAAGAUUGGGGUUUUACUGGAAGUCGAAUUAGAGUUCCAAUUAGUGAUGUAUAAGAAGAACUGAGGACUGGGUUUAGUUGAUUGAGGAACAUGGUGAGGUUAAUUAUAUGUUGGAGUAGUUCUGAGGAAGAAUUAAGAAAUUAGGGUUCAUGUUCCUCCCCAAAUUAAGAACUAAGGUUCUGUUUUUGAGGAUUUUGAAUAAGAGGGGAAUUAAAUGAUAGGUUUGAUAGAUUUGAAGGUUUGGUUGUUGUAUUGAGUUUACAUUAGAGAAGAGAAGAGUAGGGAAUUGAAUUAGGGUUUAGUUGAGAAUUUUUGUUGAUGAUGGUGGUAUUGCUUCAAAGGGAGUUCAAACUCGGGGGAGACGGGAAUUAUGGUUUCGGCAUCAGUGGGUGGUAGAACAACAAUUCAGGGAAGACUAUUGUUGGAAUGGUUGCAGGUGGUGACUGAGAAGAGAAUGUGUUUAAAAGUUGGGGUUGAAUUGUUGAUGUAGAUGGGAUUGAGCUCAUAGUAAUACAUCUGUAGCUGUUGGUGAUGUUAUGAAGCUGGAUUGGUAUAAGUCGAGAUGAUGUUCUUUAAUUAUUGAACAUGAUUGAGAUGCAGCUUUAGAUGAAUUGGUAAUGGUGGUGUUGAUGUCUGAAAUGGUUGGAACGUAGAUGAAUGUUUGGAGUCUUUCCAGUGGGUUGAGGCUAUAUUACAGUUCAUGAAAAUAGUGUUCAUGAGAGUUCUGUUUGAGCUAAGGCUAUAACUGAAGAAGUUCAAUGAGAUGUUAUGUGAUUGAGUUAGAUGAGUAUGCUGAGUUGAGUAUCUCUUAUAGGAGCUUAAAGCUGCAACUGCAGGUAGACUUAAUCUUUGAUUGUAAUUGGAAUUUGUAGUUAAAUUAUGUGGUUCAGUUAAAUUAAAUAUAUUAAUAUUGUAAUGAGAGUUUUAGAUGUUUUUAGAUUUAA